GCCGGGAUCGCAUAACCUGGUAGUGCGCUAAGGCCUUGAGUAUUAAAUCAGGUUAGCUAGUUUCCGAAAGGAUAUCUGGGUUCAAAUCCCAGUCCUGGCG
rnacentral:tRNA from 1 species